rnacentral:misc_RNA from 1 species
GAAAUGCGAUAAGUAAUUUGAAUUGCAGAAUUCAGUGAAUCAUCGAAUCUUUGAACGCACAUUGCGCCCGCCAGUAUUCUGGCGGGCAUGCCUGUUCGAGCGUCAUUUCAACCAUCAAGCCCCCGGCUUGUGUUGGGGACCUGCGGCUGCCCGCAGGCCCUGAAAAACAGUGGCGGGCUCGCUGUCACACCGAGCGUAGUAGCAUACAUUCUCGCUCAGGGCGUGCUGCGGGUUCCGGCCGUUAAACGACCUUCAUAACCCAAGGUUGACCUCGGAUCAGGUAGGAAGACCCGCUGAACUUAAGC